rnacentral:lncRNA from 1 species
GUUAAACAAGUGCUUGAAGGCAGUAUGCUUGGUAAAAGUCAUCGCCAUUCUCUAAUCUUGAGUACCCAGGGACACGAUACACUGCGGAAGGCUGCAGGGACCUCUGCCCAGGAAAGCCAGGCUUGCAUGAAGGAAAUGAUUUCCUAUGAUUCUGCUUACUGCUUAAAAAAAUUAAUCAAGUUUUCUGCCUGACAAGAUCCAGUAUCUGCCGGAGGAGCCCCACCUUCUGCUACUAUUAUGUUCUUCAGAUGAGUAGAAGAGAGUGGGGAGGGAGAGAGCAGGAAGAAGAAAGGAAGAAUAAUGUCUUGAAAUUGUUUUCUAAGGAUAAUGGUCUCCAGCUUCGUCAAUGUUCCUGCAAAGGACAUGAUGCUGACUUUGAAGAUGCAAGCUUCCACAUCUACAGCCUCAAGGAAACAAAUUCAGCCAACCAACUGAGGGAGCUUUCCUUGUCCUGCCUCAAGAUGAGAUCACAGUCUGCCCAACACCAUGAUUUAGGCCUUGUGACACCUGGUAUGGAAGACCCAGUUAAGUUCUCUCCAAACUCUUGACCCACAGAACCUGUGAGAAAAUAUAUGGAUAUUAUUUUAAACUGCUAAAUUUGUAGUAAUUUGUUAUGCAGCAAUAAAAAAAACUAAUGCAAGGAGAUAUCAAUUAUUGUAAAAAGCUUAGCUUUUGUUUUAAAAUAUAGUUCACCAGUAGUAAGUUACUAAUAAGUAACUAAACAAAUAAAAGCAAGCCAUUUACAAAUCAAUAAUAAGAGUAAGUCAUGAACUAAAGAUUGUAAUUAAUCAAUUUCUGUACGCCUGUAAUGAAAAUAAAGGAGGAAAAGAAAAAAAAAAAAAAAAAAAAAAAAAAAAAA